AUGCUUGCCAAGGCAAACUCUAGUUACAGGGUUGAACUGAAAGGAGAGAGACAUGAAAGACCUCUGAGAAGGUUCAGGAGAAGUUACAGCCUGAAGAAGCGGAGAGGGGAGAAAAAAAAAAAAAAAGAAAAAUCACCUAAGGAAGAAGGAAUCCAGAAAAAUUUGCUAGCAAGCCAGGGCGGAGCAGCUGGAGCAAGGAGCAGGAGAUGCUGUCUCACCUGGAAGGGAGGAGCCGUAGCAUGCUACUUCUCUGAGUGUGAGCGUCUCCCUGACUUAGCCAGAUCAGCACGGGGGAAGCAUAUAUGCGGCUCAGCCCGACACAGAGUACAAAACUUGAACAACUAGCAAAAGAAUUCGGAAGAGAACGGGCUCGAGCUGGCUUCAACCCACGUAUUCCUUCCUGGCGACUGGGGACGCCCAACAUCGUGACGGUGAGCAUGUUAUAGAGACCGGCAACGGGGAUCACGUUGGUAUUGUGAUUGAACUGUAUAUUGCAAUUGAUAUAUUCUGCUAAGCGUAUACACUUAUAUUGUGGUUUCAGUGUGUUCUGUGUCACUCUGCUAAAUCAAAAAUCCCGUGUAACAUCAAAUACCUUCAGAGUAAACUUUUAUAUUAAACAUUACACACUCUGUGUGUGGAAUAUCUAAAAGAACCUGGUCAGAGAGUAUUGGACUCUGAUACAGGCUUUUUAAAAUCUUAUGGUCUAGAAAAAAAUUCCAUUUUGAAAAAUAGUGUAUUAUGCAACGUUGCAGGUUAGUUAUAGAUUUUGGCUCCUGUAGAUACCUGACCUAACUGACAAAAUAACGUGAAAUUAUGUUUCCCUUUUCAAAAAAAAAGCAUCACCAUUACUUUAAGCAAGUUUUUCUCCAGCUGAACUGUAAUAGAGGGCACAAAAGUUUUUUGGGGGAACGCUAGUUUAGACUGACCUUUAUACCUUGCGGGUAUGCCACUCCAGAUGUUGGCCAGCAACCCCCAAGUAUCUGAUUGAUCCACUAUACAUGGGAUAACAGAGUCUGAGAAUCUAAUAGGACCUGCAGGAAGCUCACCACAGUGCAUAGUACCUUGGUCAGAAUGUAUGCCACUGGGUCUGUGGGACUAUUCACUGGCUCCGUUGAACAGGAAAGUGGCAGGAUCAAGCCUUUAUUAAGCAUGAGCAAGAAAGGUUUAUUAAUUUUGAAGAAUUAACCAAACCACACAUUGAAAGUGGAGUGUCUGCAUUUCCCACAAUACCACUCUCUUCACAGUCCAUUUUCUUUUCUACUUGUUUGAUGAAAUCAGGGUGGAAGCGGGAUUUUGAGUUUUUCAGGGCAUAGCUAUGGCUUUUCAUUAAUUGUCAUCAUUACUAUCAUUACUCAGCACUCAGAAGUGUGAUAGUCACCUCCAGGGACCCAACAGAGACGUUUCUUGUUAUAUUUCCUCUGUGGAGAGUCUUGCGUGAUUUGCAAAUCUAUUAAGCAAUAGCCAAAGAGGAUGCCUAAUUCGGAAUACACUUCUGCAGUCUAUUUAUGGGUAAUUUGGCAUGUGGUUCACAAAUGUGUGGGUAACAUGCUAGAAAUUGCAGGUUGCUGCGUUGACUAACCUCGUCCAAAGUUUGUAAACAGCUAGUUGAAAGCAUAAGUGAAUUUCACUUAAAAUUUUCACUUUAAGCAGGGAGAAGACACCACAGGAGGGACUCAUCUGACUAUGUGCACACUCAAUGAUGUGUACACUCAGGUAUACCUAUGCUGUAGAGGUCUACAAUUAAAUGAUGCAACUCGCAGUCCUAAUGUCUACUGUGUAACUUGGUCAGAAACAAAUUAAAAGGCUGAAAAUAACAGUGUGGCUUCCCUGCCUUUGAUAAGAAGCUUUGAGCUGAUGGGAAGGGGACAAGAAAUAGCGUUUUCCUGAAAGCGCUUGUAGGGUUUGUACUGCAUUACAGCCAAGGUGGGAGGAGAUCUGUACAUGUUCUUAAACCCUGUCUAGUUUCUCUCUUCUACUAAUUUUCCUCAUACACAGAGCAAUCACAUGCCUGCUUCUUACUUCAUUGGACAAGUAAAUAAAAGACAUGUCAUGAGGCA
rnacentral:lncRNA from 1 species